UUAAUGAGAUUCUCACUGUCCCUAUCUGCUAUCUAACAAAACCGCCGCAAAGGGAUCGAGCUUUGAAUAAACAGAGGGUAAAAAAAGACCAUGUUGAGCUUGACUCUAGGCCGACUUUGUGAAAUGACUGAAAAGGUGUAGAAAAAGUGGGAGCCUCGGCGCCGGUGAGCUAC
rnacentral:rRNA from 10 species